CCUACGGGCGGCAGCAGUGGGGAAUAUUGGACAAUGGGCGAAAGCCUGAUCCAGCCAUGCCGCGUGUGUGAAGAAGGCCUUCGGGUUGUAAAGCACUUUCAGUGGGGAAGAAAGCCUUGGGGCUAAUACCCUCGAGGAAGGACAUCACCCACAGAAGAAGCACCGGCUAACUCCGUGCCAGCAGCCGCGGUAAUACGGAGGGUGCGAGCGUUAAUCGGAAUUACUGGGCGUAAAGCGCGCGUAGGCGGUCUGAUAAGCCGGUUGUGAAAGCCCCGGGCGCAACCUGGGAACGGCAUCCGGAACUGUCAGGCUAGAGUGCAGGAGAGGAAGGUAGAAUUCCCGGUGUAGCGGUGAAAUGCGUAGAGAUCGGGAGGAAUACCAGUGGCGAAGGCGGCCUUCUGGACUGACACUGACGCUGAGGUGCGAAAGCGUGGGUAGCAAACAGGAUUAGAUACCCUGGUAGUC
rnacentral:rRNA from 1 species